rnacentral:piRNA from 1 species
UAAGCAAGAAACAAGUGCCGGGUGCUGGGU